UGUGGCAGAAUAGUGCGGUGGACUUAAACCCCAUAAAUAAAGUAUUACUUUCUUUAGAA
rnacentral:tRNA from 1 species